AGUUUGGAGUUCCAUGAAUAAUGCUGCAAUGAAUAUUCUUGGACAUGCCUCUUGGUAAAUUUUGAAAAAGCAGUCCAUUUCUUGAUGAAUUAUACUUAAAGGAAUGCGGGUGGCCUGAGAGAGAUUGAGCUGAGGAGGCUUGAGUGAACCAAAUAAGCCCCUGUAAGCAGUCUUCAGGUUUACAAAUUGGACUAUGUCAGAUGCCUCAUGUAAGUGGAAUCAUGCAGGACUUACAUGCCCUAUGGCUCCUCUGUUUUUCCAAGGAAAGGUAAUAAUGAAGCAAAGGGGAGGAGAACAUUUUGGUUAAACUUAAGGUGAGGAUCCUUAUCCAGGCAUUUAAUAUCACUGAUAGAAAAUAAUAUUGUAUCUCUAGUUCCUUUAGUGCUUACAACAUGCCACCAUAUAAUUUCAUUUUUAUGACUUCCUAUGAGAUGGGGCAGGAAUUAUUAUCUACGUAUCACAGAGGAAGUGAUGCUCAGAGGUGGCUUGCUCCAGAACACAUAACUAGUAAGUUACACAUAGGCCCCAGGUCUUUUGAUUCAAACUAGAAAUGUAAGAAACAAACUAACAGUAAAAGCAAGGAAAUAAAUAAUCACUAUCAGUAAUUUAUAAAUAUCAAUGAUUGGGAUAAAAAAUGUGGACUUCAAUGUUUCUGUCUUCAAGCAAGACAAAAUUUUCAUAUAAAACAGUGAAAUAUUGUGAAGUAAAGAAGUAAAAAUUAAUUUAUCUUAUGGGUCGUUAACUAUGCCUUAAUAACAUUAUGAUGUUGACUUGGGAGAAUAGUUAGAAAUUAUCUACAUCUGAAGAUAGCCGAAAUUGUAGCUGAUCAUGGAAUGAGCCAGAAUUUACCAACAUUGCAAAAAUACAGAUGCCUUCCCAAGGUCCUGUAAAUAAUGAAAAAAAGU